rnacentral:rRNA from 1 species
AGAGUUUGAUCAUGGCUCAGGAUGAACGCUGGCGGCGUGCCUAAUACAUGCAAGUCGAACGGAGAUUGUAGCAAUACAUUCUUAGUGGCGAACGGGUGAGUAACGCGUUGGUGACCUGCCCCAAAGUGAGGGAUAACAGCCCGAAAGGGUUGCUAAUACCUCAUGUGGUCUUUGAGAUUAGAUGCUCUUAGACUAAAGGAUUUAUUCGCUUUGGGAGGGGCCUGCGUCCCAUCAGCUUGUUGGUGAGGUAAUGGCUUACCAAGGCUAUGACGGGUAGGGGACCUGAGAGGGUGACCCCCCACAAUGGAACUGAAACACGGUCCAUACACCUACGGGUGGCAGCAGUAGGGAAUAUUGGUAAUGGGCGAAAGCCUGAACCAGCAACGCCGCGUGUGCGAAGAAGGCCUUCGGGUUGUAAAGCACUUUUUAAGGGGAUGAGGAAGGACAGUACCCUUAGAAUAAGCCUCGGCUAACUACGUGCCAGCAGCCGCGGUAACACGUAGGAGGCAAGCGUUAUUCGGAUUUACUGGGCGUAAAGCGCGUGCAGGCGGUUUGGUAAGUUGGAUGUGAAAGCUCCCGGCCUAACUGGGAGAGGUCGUUCAAUACUACCAGACUAGAGGAUGGGAGAGGGAGGUGGAAUUCCGGGUGUAGUGGUGAAAUGCGUAGAUAUCCGGAGGAACACCAGUGGCGAAAGCGGCCUCCUGGCCCAUUUCUGACGCUCAGACGCGAAAGCUAGGGUAGCAAACGGGAUUAGAGACCCCGGUAGUCCUAGCUGUAAACGAUGUGGACUUGGCGUUGGUGGUGUUAAAUCCAUCAGUGCCGGAGCAAACGCGUUAAGUCCACCGCCUGGGGACUACGGCCGCAAGGUUAAAACUCAAAUGAAUUGACGG